CAGUCGAACGGCAGCACAGCAGAGCUUGCUCUGUGGGUGGCGAGUGGCGGACGGGUGAGUAAUGCAUCGGGACCUACCCAGACGUGGGGGAUAACGUAGGGAAACUUACGCUAAUACCGCAUACGUCCUACGGGAGAAAGCGGGGGACCUUCGGGCCUCGCGCGGUUGGAUGGACCGAUGUGCGAUUAGCUUGUUGGUGAGGUAACGGCUCACCAAGGCGACGAUCGCUAGCUGGUCUGAGAGGAUGAUCAGCCACACUGGGACUGAGACACGGCCCAGACUCCUACGGGAGGCAGCAGUGGGGAAUAUUGGACAAUGGGCGCAAGCCUGAUCCAGCAAUGCCGCGGGUGUGAAGAAGGCCUUCGGGUUGUAAAGCACUUUUAUCAGGAGCGAAAUCUGCAGGGCUAAUACCCAUGCAGUCUGACGGUACCUGAGGAAUAAGCACCGGCUAACUCCGUGCCAGCAGCCGCG
rnacentral:rRNA from 1 species